CAGCCGCCGCGGGAAUACGAAGGGUGCAAGCGUUACUCGGAAUUACUGGGCGUAAAGCGUGCGUAGGUGGUGGUUUAAGUCCGUUGUGAAAGCCCUGGGCUCAACCUGGGAAUUGCAGUGGAUACUGGGUCACUAGAGUGUGGUAGAGGAUAGUGGAAUUUCCGGUGUAGCAGUGAAAUGCGUAGAGAUCGGAAGGAACAUCUGUGGCGAAGGCGACUAUCUGGGCCAACACUGACACUGAGGCACGAAAGCGUGGGGAGCAAACAGGAUUAGAGACCCCUGUAGUCCCUGUCUCUUAUAC
rnacentral:rRNA from 1 species